UCAGCUGGGACCAGUAGCAGCAACCAGACUCAAAAGGAGUCCAUCGUUGACGUCACCUCAGAGGAUUUGAGCUCCGACUUGUCAGACUCCGAAGACAUGGAAGACGAUGAGGAGCCGGUGGACAUUGAAACUGUAGAAGAAAAACAUUCUGAGAUAAUUGCAGCCAUGAGGCGUUACGCAUUAAACCAAUCACAACAAACAAGAGACGCCACCAGUGGUCCUGAGUCGUCGAAGGACCCGGAUCGUCUGAAAAAAAUCAAAACUUGGCGCAAGAACCACCAGGAGUUAGAAAAGCUGAGACGUGGUGAGGAGCGAAUCCUCUUCCAAAAACUCCAGCUAACUCUGGAGUGUGGUCCCAGAACUGCCAAGGACCGCCUCCUCUCAACGGCUGUAAAUGAAGUUGCAACACUACAGGCCACAUCCAAAAAGCUGGAUCUGAUCAAAGAACAGCUGAUCCAGCAGCAGUGUGCCUAUGUGAAGAAGCUCUCCUUGAUGUCAGGGAAGUCUGAAGCCAUGAUUUACAGCAAGCUGAAGGAGAUUUCUGAGCGGCAGAAACAGCUGGAGAAUAAGAUGAAAUUAAAGCCCAUCUUCUCCAAGCUGCUGCAAAGUAAAGCUGCUCUCCUACAAGCCGCCGCUCCCAAGUCUUUACACCAGAAAAGCAGCACCUACGCGUCUCCUCCACCUCGAACCGAGCUGUCCAAAGCUGCCCAAGACAACGUACGCAUGCUACUCCAUUUGCUUCAUCCUUCUAAAAGCCUCCAAAAAGACUCUGGCGUUGAAAACUCGUCAAGACCACAGAUCCUCCUAGAACAGAAGGUCACCCCGCAGACUCCAAAGGUGAACCAGCCCGGUGAAACCAGACCCUCAGACCAAACCAGCCAACUUCCGUUAAUGUCCGAUGAAAGCCAGGAAGUAGAAGAUCCAGAAAAAACUAAAGAACAACCCGCCUCCGAUAACCAGCUCGUGUCUGGUUCCUCCAGUAAUGCUAAUGCAAAGGCUCUGGUUCCAAAUCCGGUGGCUUCUCUCCCGCUGAUUCGAUCCAAAACUGGCAGGAUCAUCCUUCCCUCGUCACUAAGGCCAAUUGGUCAUGGAUUUUACACCCUGGUGAUGAUGGAACCCCAAGUGCAGCAAGAGGAAGAUCAGGUCAGCUCGUCUGACCAGGACUUGUCCAAGAAUUCGGACACGUCUUCAGACCUGACUGACCUCAACCCGUCGAACUUUAGGUCCCCGCUAGAGGUACAAGCUAUGAAGAACAACCAGGACCCAGGUGUGAACACACCUACGGCUCCUGCUCGCCUGCGUUUUAAUCCUUUUCAGCAGCCGCCUCCACCUACUCCUCCUCCUCCUCCUGGCAGUUUGGAGCCCAAUCCCAAGAGCAAGCUUUCACCAACUCGGAGUUCUUCUGCUUAUCUGCUUGGAGAAGAAGUUGAGGUGGAGGAGUUCAGAAUGAUCAACAGUGCCGUUAAACUCUCUCAGCCGUCUGCUGAAAGUCAACGUGACGAGGCCGGCGGCGUGGCACACACACCCGCUCCGGUGAAACGAGGCAGGGGCCGGCCUCGGAAGACUCUGCUGUCAAGUCCGACCAAACCAGCUAAACGACAUUCAAAAAGUUCCCCAGCAUCUGUUGACAGCUCAAUUCGGUUUUCCAUCAGCAGCUUAAAGAGUCGCAACGCAACAGAAGGAGACGUUUGCGCAUCGAAACCGUUGACGCGCGCCUCUCUGGGAAAGGACUUCCCCAGUGCCAAGAAACGCUCCUGGAUCGACGUAGAGAAGGAACUGGAACCUGACCUGGAAUACUUGUAG
ensembl:lncRNA